AAAUAACAACUGCACACAUUCAUUGCCUCUUUGUGUUAUGUAGCUCAUAGAAAUGUGCUCAAUAAAUGUUGUGCUUUAUUUCUCCUUAAAGGGUUAGUUCGCCCAGAAAAUAGAAUUCUAUCAUUAAUUACUCACCCUCAUGUCGUUCCAAACCCCUAAGAACUUCGUUUCAUCUUCAGAACACAAGUUAAGAUAUUUUAGAUGAAAUCCAAGAGCACUAUAGUGGUUCAGCUUUAAUUAUGAAGUGACGAUAAUACUUUCAACAAUUAAUUUUUUUCUGUGUCAGUCUCUGACAUGCAUUCACGAGAAGUGCUGAUGCAGGAGACAGCAUUUUGACAGAGACCCGAAUGCGCUAUUUUAACAAUGACUUUAAUACCUUUCUGUGGUGGUAGUGGCAUUGAUGUCUAUGGGGUAUUUCAUCAGUAAUAUCUUCAUUUGUGUUCCAAAGAUGAACGAAGGUCUUGUUGGUUUGGAAUGACUGUACCAGUCACACUGAAGCUCCUAUUCAAUAACUUAUACCAUGGUCUGUCUGGAUAUUCUGAUUGGCUGGCAGGUUCUGAGUUUAUGUCAGAAGUGUAGCUGGCCUUCUUCCAGUUGUUGGCUACAUUCUGAAAAGAUGCUGGAAAAAGAAAUGCAGGAUUCUUGCUCUGUGUCGGGUCCACCCUUUCUCUGGCUGUGGUGCCUCCAUUGUCCUAACACUCUUCAGCAACCUGUCAAGGUCUUUAUAUGGUGGCCACCAGGAGUAGCCAUCUGCAUACCAGGACUUGGCAGCUGGUCCAGUCGUCCCUUCUCCCUCAAACUCCACGAUUAGAAAUCAACUGUUGUUGAGAGGUCAUCCACUAAAUGAAUGCCAAGUGUAGAGGAUGGCAGUGGAUAGUCAAACAAGGAUUCCUGGUGGUUGAAGGUAUUGUAAGCAACAUAAAUUUCAUCCCUGAAUGAAAUGAUGUUUUGCAGCUUAGCAACUUUGCCGGCAAUGCAAACGUGACUGUUUGCCUGAUCCAAUUUCAGAGUGUGUUGGCUUGUUCUCAACUCUUUAUAUUGUGUCACCUCAUGGAAGGAUGCAGGAUGCAGGAAGAGGACCAGUCGCAUGUGGUUUUUUUGAGCAGAUGUGGCCUGGUUUUGUGAGUUUUUUUGCAGCAUCUUUGCAUUUCUGAGAGUCUUUUUACUAUUUGACUGAGUGGGCAUGUUGGUUUCCUCCGAAGUCUUUUGAGUUUGUUUAGGUGAUUCUCAUACUUGAAAGCACUGAAGUUGUCAAGGACACCAUGCUUUUUCGCAUCAUCUGCAAGAUGUACAAGACAGUGUGCAUUGUAGGACAAGAAUUGUGGACCAUACAGUUGACCAAAGUGAGAGACAACGAGCACCACCUACAAGUCAGAGGACCCAUCUUCAGCCACAAGAGAAGAAGCCAUCUCAUGAUGGUGCAUGUAGUCGAGGGGGAAACCAGAGACCAUGUUUAGGGAUGUUUCUUCAAGAGUGUCCCUAGGAUGGGCCAGAACUGUGAUGCUGAGCUCUUAUAAAGUGGCAAACCAUCAACGCUGACCUGAAGCUCCGGCGUGUGAAUGUUGUGCAGAAUGUCAACAUUCUGAUGUAGCACCUCUGCAAUUGAAUUAGGCACUCCGAAAUGGUAAUACUGGCCACCAGCCUUGUCUUGUAUUUCAGGGUUCAAACGCACAGUUCUUAGCAAUAUCCUCGAGUCUUUUGGCAGAUUUAAACUGUGUAGCCGUAGAAUGUUGAGCAAUGAAUUCAAUGCCACGUGUGAUUUUGUGUUCAGUAGCCCAGGAUGCCAAAUCAUCAUUUAAUGAAUUUGGAUCUGAUUCUGUGUCUGAUUCACUGUCAUCAGGAACACUUCUGACAUCUCAUCAACAUGAGAGAGACAGUCCAUUAAUGUAUCUUCAUCAUCAUUUUGACCUUGAACGGUUUUACUGUGCAUCCAACCCAAUUCUUUCCCCCAAGUUGUUGCCUGUAUUGUCUGCAGUUGCUGAUCCACCUUGUCCUUUGCUUUCCGUCUCAGUGUCCAAUAGGAUGGUUCAUUUGAAGCCAUAGUAUUAAGACCUUAAUACAAACAAACCUAUUUUUUUGUUGUUUGUUUACUGGCCUACCAAGUCAUAUGCAUUAACAUAAUGUACAUACCUUUAGUUGGUUGACGGAUGGUAAUGGAUAACUUUCUGUAGUCAAAUUAAACAAAGGACAUAGUUAAAUGCUGAAAUUUAAAAUGACUACAUAAAUAUACUAUUACAUAUCUAAAUUUUAAUCAGAGAUUGACAGUCUUCUGUAAUUGAGGUUUAAACAUAGAUUAAAUUCUCUUUUCAUCACAGU